UGGGGAAUUUUGGACAAUGGGCGAAAGCCUGAUCCAGCAAUGCCGCGUGUGUGAAGAGGGCCUUCGGGUUGUAAAGCACUUUUGUCCGGAAAGAAAUCCUUGGCUCUAAUACAGUCGGGGGAUGACGGUACCGGAAGAAUAAGCACCGGCUAACUACGUGCCAGCAGCCGCGGUAAUACGUAGGGUGCAAGCGUUAAUCGGAAUUACUGGGCGUAAAGCGUGCGCAGGCGGUUUGCUAAGACCGAUGUGAAAUCCCCGGGCUCAACCUGGGAACUGCAUUGGUGACUGGCAGGCUAGAGUAUGGCAGAGGGGGGUAGAAUUCCACGUGUAGCAGUGAAAUGCGUAGAGAUGUGGAGGAAUACCGAUGGCGAAGGCAGCCCCCUGGGCCAAUACUGACGCUCAUGCACGAAAGCGUGGGGAGCAAACAGGAUUAGAUACCCUGGUAGUCCACGCCCUAAACGAUGCCAACUAGUUGUUGGGGAUUCAUUUCCUUAGUAACGUAGCUAACGCGUGAAGUUGACCGCCUGGGGAGUACGGUCGCAAGAUUAAAACUCAAAUGAAUUG
rnacentral:rRNA from 1 species